CAUGCAAAAAGGAAAGGGGGAAGAGGGUUCCAAACCCUUGGCAUAGCUUCAAUCCUCUGUAACUUUAAAUCCGGAGCUCCGAUUGAUGAGCCGUUUGCGGCCACGCGUUCGUCUCGGAGUCCUCUUCAAUUAUAUUCAAAGAAAAAGGUGCAAUCUAACAUUGGAUAAUUGUUGGAUUAUACUCCAAUCAUCAAUGGGUAAGGGAGCGUGUUUGUUAGUGGAAAUUGAUGUUGUGGACAUUGGAGGCCUUGGAUUGGUGUCAAGUCUUGGUGAUCUUAUGAAUUGAGGAGCUGUGAGUAUGGCUUAAGGGUUGCUUUGGAUAAUAAAUAAAAGCGGCCAAGAUGCAGAUCGAGAGGCUCCUCGCUAGGCGUUUGGAUCUUCAAGCGGAGUAGUCCCUGGGAUGUUUUGGUUUAUCAGAUUAUGUAUAUAUGUACUUAGUUACUUAGCUUGCUCUCCAAGAAACUGGUUAUUUUGUUCCUCAUAGAGGUUUCAGGAGAAUUAGGACUUU